rnacentral:rRNA from 1 species
AGCUAAUAGAUACCCUGGUAGUCCACGCCCUAAACGAUGUCGACUGGUUGUUGGGGGUUUGACACUCCCAGUAAACGAAAGCUAAACGCGUGAAGUCGACCGCCUGGGGAGUACGGCCGCAAGGUUAAAACUCAAAGGAAUUGACGGGGACCCGCACAAGCGGUGGAUUAUGUGGAUUAAUUCGAUGCAACGCGAAAAACCUUACCUACCCUUGACAUGUCCGGAAGGCUGCUGAAAGGCGGCUGUGCCCGAAAGGGAACUGGAACACAGGUGCUGCAUGGCUGUCGUCAGCUCGUGUCGUGAGAUGUUGGGUUAAGUCCCGCAACGAGCGCAACCCUUGUCAUUAGUUGCUACAUUCAGUUGGGCACUCUAAUGAGACUGCCGGUGACAAACCGGAGGAAGGUGGGGAUGACGUCAAGUCCUCAUGGCCCUUAUGGGUAGGGCUUCACACGUAAUACAAUGGCGCGUACAGAGGGCUGCUAAGCCGCAAGGUAGAGCCAAUCCCUUAAAGCGCGUCGUAGUCCGGAUUGCAGUCUGCAACUCG